AUGGAGUUCGACAAGCGCACGGGGACGCCUUCUCCCCUUCUCCCCCGGAGCGCCUCCACCGUCACCUACUGCUGCGGCCGGUGCGGGUACGACCUGAAGCUGAGCUCGUCGGCGCGGGACACGGCGGGCAUCGUGGGCUCCGGCGCCGGAGGGGCGAGGCGACGGGACUGGCGGAGCGCGGCCGUGGUGGUGUUCGACUCCAUCGACGACGCGCGCUUCGGCCACCUCGACGAGUUCCGCUGCCUCGACCUGCGCGCGCGCCGCCUCUUCGCGCGCCGCACGCGCCUGCUCUGCCGCAAGUGCGGCGCGCACCUCGGCUACGGCUACGACGACAACAGCACCGCCACCAGGCCGCCGCGGUACCACAUCAAGAUCCGCGCCCUCCACCCCGCCUCCUCCGAUGACGCCUUCUCCGCCGCCGCGACGCCACCGCCGCCCGACAAGCCGGCGGAUCCGCGAUCUUGA
rnacentral:rRNA from 1 species